rnacentral:rRNA from 1 species
GUGGGGAAUAUUGGACAAUGGGCGAAAGCCUGAUCCAGCCAUGCCGCGUGUGUGAAGAAGGUCUUCGGAUUGUAAAGCACUUUAAGUUGGGAGGAAGGGCAGUAAGUUAAUACCUUGCUGUUUUGACGUUACCGACAGAAUAAGCACCGGCUAACUUCGUGCUAGCAGCCGCGGUAAUACGAAGGGUGCAAGCGUUAAUCGGAAUUACUGGGCGUAAAGCGCGCGUAGGUGGUUUUGUAAGUUGGUGGUGAAAUCCCCGGGCUCAACCUGGGAACUGCCUCCAAAACUGCAUGACUAGAGUACGGUAGAGGGUAGUGGAAUUUCCUGUGUAGCGGUGAAAUGCGUAGAUAUAGGAAGGAACACCAGUGGCGAAGGCGACUACCUGGACUGAUACUGACACUGAGGUGCGAAAGCGUGGGGAGCAAACAGGAUUAGAUACCCCGGUAGUCC